GCCGAGGCCGGCUUAGCCCCUGCCCUAUCACCCUUCUGGCUGCCGACUCGUGUGGCGCCCAGGUGCCUGGGGUCUGGGCGUGAGACUGCCCAGCACGCCUCCUUUGGGACGGCGAUCUAGGUAGAUCUGGAGUGGCGGUGGCGACCUCCACCUCUGCAAUCUCCCUGUGGCAUGCUUCUGAGAAAGGGGGCGAUCCCGAGCUAGCCGCCGAGCUCCCUCAGCAGUGGGGGCUUAGCCUGGAGAUUCCCGGCUUUGGAUUUGGCUUCAUCCAGCGGGAUGAGGCCGGCAUCUGCAGACAACCCUCUCAUCAUUGGGUGGUAAUCUCGGUUCUGCGGUUUCUAUUUUCCUGUCAUGUGCUACUGCCAAUUGCCAAGGAUGAGACGAGUUGUGAUUCUUGCCUGCCGAAAAUUGGUAUACUUUAAUUCUGUCCAUAGUUGGCCGAGCCGACCUUGACAUCGGUUUUCUGCGAUCGUUUGUCAUUACCUUGUUAUAAUAAAUCUACUAUGUUUACCUUGUAUGAUCAUGUGGAAUUGUAGAAACGUCCGCUUUUACUAAAUAGUAAUUCAUUCAUCUGUAGUAAAAGUAAGUAUAUGAUUGUUGCAUUGCUCUGACCAUAUAUCCAACAUGACACAGGUUUACAGCGACCUGACCGUUGACUACUUGAAGAUGUUACAACAACCGUCGUUGCUCUAGGACUGUGAGUACAUCUACAUUUAUUUUCUUUUUACAGCUUGUGUACUUUUCAAGUUGAAUUUAAACUGUUUGUAGAAAACAUUCUUUUGGUACUGAAGCGGAACUUCCUAUUUAGUUAUGUCAGGCAACUCCUUUUAUGCUAAUUGAUAUUUGUUGACCUGCUUGAUCUGCUGACAUGAGCCUUUUUGUGAACUUGACCUGCUGACAUGAGCCUUUUAUGAACUUGACCUGCUGACAUGAAGCUUACGAGCCAACAGUGUAUAUUUCAGUUACUUCUAAGUUUGAAUGAGAUUCGGUUUUAGUUCCUUCGUUCAAACCAGGUGCAUGUAUGAAAGAUACUAUUUGCAAAUAAUGACAAGAGUGUUUUAAUUCUUAGAUAAUUGGUAGUUCGCAGGGAUUUGCGGCUUAAAGCUCAGUCUACUAUUAAAAUAAGGGAUUCAAAUUUAUAUCAGGUUUUGCUUCCUGUCAAAAUCUAUCUCUGAGAGAUCGUGCAAUGGAAAGUUACAACAUAAGUCAGUGGAGGCAAAUUAACAAAUCAAAAAUAUCUUUUGAUCCUCCGAGAUAAAUCAGUGGGUAUAUGAACUUCUCUUUGUUUCUCACCUGAAAGUUACAGUGUGAUUCUUAAAUUAACUGGAGCUUACUUCUUAUUAUUUACUUAUUAGUUCAUCACAUGUUUCUUUUUUUGUUGUUACCUGUGAAAACUUUGGUCGGCAUGGCACAUGACAUGAUGAAUGCUUUUGUCAUAUUUAUCUUUUUAUUUUAUAGCUUGAUUUACUUUUUCUUCCAUGCAUUAUUCAUUUAUUCUGUGAGUCCAUGCUCAUGUACAAGAUGCAAAAGUGCGGCUCUGUAGUUUUUUCGUGCACUCUCAGUUGCUACCACCAAAUGAUUUGCUAACAGUAACUGGUGGUGCCUGUCGAUGAGUUGAGAUCCAUGUUCUUCUUUUCUCUAGAGCACUUCUAUUUGUAGGAUAUAUCUCCAUGGCUUUUCAUGCGAGUUCUGAUGAGAACUUUAGUCGGGACAGAUGGAUUUUAGUGAACUUCCCCAAUUAUAUAUCAUCCAACCUUUUCAAUAACCCCCUCGAAAAAAAACCUUUUCAAUAACUACUCGAGUGAUAAUUUCCCUAAUUAUGUGUAGUCAUUUAGUUGGGAUACUUUUUUCCAUCAGGAUCUUUUGAAGAAGGAUCCAUUUAAUAGCGUGGUGAUUGAAUCAUCAGGGCGCAAUGUACAUCAGGUAGAUAGCCAUCCUAUGCUUGAAAGGAAAUCUAAAUCGAUACCUGAAGAUUGUGAACGAAAGCGGUAAGUUCAGAUAAGGCCAAUGAUAGGGGCAAUCAUUGGACCAUUGUAGAGAUGUCACAUUGCUUCGGCUUUCCAUUAAAGCUAUCCUCUAAUUGCUGACCAGUUCUUAGUUAGUACAUUAACAAACUAAUUAAUAUAUGUAUAAUAGUAUUCUCGGUUAUAGAGUAUCUUGGUUCUGCUCCUUUGUCAAGUGUUCUUAGAUCUUCUGUAUUUGAACUACCAAAUAAGAUAUGCAUUUUUUUUGUUUAUUGCUCAAUGAACAAUGCCAGAAAUAACUGUCCUUAAUGAUAUUUAAAACCUGCCUUUUAGCUCACAUUAGCAUUUGAAAGGGCAACCGGAUUAUAGUAUUCAUAUAUGUCACAUGUCACAUAAUUAUAUAAGAAUGUUUUUGGCAGACAUGUGUCACCUGAUUAUGGUAUCCGUAUCAGUGUGCUUUUCUAUGAUCCGUCGCCAUUCACGUAAAUAUGCUAGCUCUUAUUUCCCUAUUUUUUCCCAAUUGGUUUUGUCAGCUUGACUUUACCAGUUCUGAUCUCAAAUAAGCGAGUCAAAAUUCACCCCUAUGUAUCUGUAUGUGUGCUACUGACUUUGCUGGUUUCACCAAAAGUUAAGGUUUUUACUCAACAAGAUGAACAAUUGAAGUUCGAGUGGCGCAGGACGAGCUAGAAGAACAUCGGUCAAAGAGUACUAUACCCAUAUAAGCUUAUGAAACUCUCAUGUUGAAUUCCCAUGAAAUGGGUUGUCAGUGCUAAUUUUGAGAUUGUAAGUCGGAUGUUAAUUACUGUGACACCAGUUGCAACUGGUACUGAUCAUUGUUCCAUCACUUUUUGUUUCUCAUGUUUUUCUUAUUUUUCAUGUUAUCUCAUUGUCAUGUUCAAAGUCUACCAAAGUUUUUUUAGUACUAUGUUGUACCAUUAAGAGCUCGGUUAUUUUCCUCCAAAGCCAUCUGGAUGAGUUGGCAGCUCAGGCCUUCUCGACCAUGUACGACAAAGGUUAAAUACCUAAGUGCUUUAUUAUCACUAACAUCGUGCCUGUGUGCUCAUCAGUUGGGUCCUUGCCACCUGACAUCUAGGUGAAGGUGAAUGUGGACGGGCCCUAUGUUGAAAGGACUGGGCAAAGAGGUAUUGGCAUCAUGAAGGAAGGUGGCUCUGUGGUGUUGUUGCCUGUUACGACAUAGUUCUGGCACGAGGUGUUUUUGCCAUUGCUGCGCUAAGUUCUGGCACAAAUAGGCGAGCAUCUUGGCGUGCUGCAGCAGUUCAUGAAGCAACACAGCUCAGGUACAAAAUUAUCAAGAUGGGCAGAGAGUGUAACAUGGCAGCAGAUGCCUUAGCCAGCAAAGCUACAAGUCAUGAGGACAUUGAGGUCUCUCCCAACAAUCAUCAUAGAUAUUGUCACAAACAAUUGUGAUCCUGUGUCUUUUGAUAUAUAAAGUUCCUUUUCUUUGCCUAAAAAUAUACUUUUUAGUCAAAUCAAAGUAGAAAAAUUGGACUUGAUGUCACUUACAGUGUGUUAUACUCAUAUUACCAGAUCACACACAUGCAUGUCUAAAGUAG